CAGCCAGCCAGCCAGCCAGCCCAGCCAGCCAGCUAGCCAGCCAGCCAGCAUGAAAUAAGUCGGCCAGGUGUGUUCACUAUUAGCCAUUAGCGCUCAAAUUGAGCCAGUGAACACCCAAGACCCUGGAUCUCAAGACCCUGGAUCUCAAGACCCAAGUACAGUCGGCAAGUGGAGUCGUUCGAUGGGUUGUUCAGAGUGAGUCAGACUCUAAAUGUUUAAUUGCAUCCCAGCGCGCUCUUCCUCUGGUGUAUGUUCUGGUACAUGUUGCGGUUGUGGGGUCGGUGGUGGUUGGUUU